GACGGAGGAUGCAAGUGUUAUCCGGAAUCACUGGGCGUAAAGCGUCUGUAGGUGGUUUAAUAAGUCAACUGUUAAAUCUUGAGGCUCAACCUCAAAAUCGCAGUCGAAACUAUUAGGCUAGAGUAUAGUAGGGGUAAAGGGAAUUUCCAGUGGAGCGGUGAAAUGCGUAGAGAUUGGAAAGAACACCGAAUGGCGAAAGCACUUUACUGGGCUAUUACUAACACUCAGAGACGAAAGCUAGGGUAGCAAAUGGG
rnacentral:rRNA from 1 species